GGCCCAGACUCCUACGGGAGGCAGCAGUGGGGAAUAUUGCACAAUGGGGGAAACCCUGAUGCAGCGACGCCGCGUGAGUGAAGAAGUAUCUCGGUAUGUAAAGCUCUAUCAGCAGGGAAGAAAAUGACGGUACCUGACUAAGAAGCCCCGGCUAACUACGUGCCAGCAGCCGCGGUAAUACGUAGGGGGCAAGCGUUAUCCGGAUUUACUGGGUGUAAAGGGUGCGUAGGUGGCAUGGCAAGUCAGAAGUGAAAGCCCGGGGCUCAACCCCGCGGACUGCUUUUGAAACUGUCAGGCUGGAGUACAGGAGAGGUAAGCGGAAUUCCUAGUGUAGCGGUGAAAUGCGUAGAUAUUAGGAGGAACACCAGUGGCGAAGGCGGCUUACUGGACUGUAACUGACACUGAGGCACGAAAGUGCGGGGAUCGAACAGGAUUAGAUCCCCCAGUA
rnacentral:rRNA from 1 species